rnacentral:rRNA from 3 species
CGCGGUGGUCCCACCUGACCCCAUGCCGAACUCAGAAGUGAAACGCUGUAGCGCCGAUGGUAGUGUGGGGUCUCCCCAUGCGAGAGUAGGGAACUGCCAGGC